AUUGAACGCUGGCGGCAGGCCUAACACAUGCAAGUCGAGCGGAUGAAGGGAGCUUGCUCCUGGAUUCAGCGGCGGACGGGUGAGUAAUGCCUAGGAAUCUGCCUGGUAGUGGGGGAUAACGUCCGGAAACGGGCGCUAAUACCGCAUACGUCCUGAGGGAGAAAGUGGGGAAUCUUCGGACCUCACGCUAUCAGAUGAGCCUAGGUCGGAUUAGCUAGUUGGUGGGGUAAAGGCCUACCAAGGCGACGAUCCGUAACUGGUCUGAGAGGAUGAUCAGUCACACUGGAACUGAGACACGGUCCAGACUCCUACGGGAGGCAGCAGUGGGGAAUAUUGGACAAUGGGCGAAAGCCUGAUGCAGCCAUGCCGCGUGUGUGAAGAAGGUCUUCGGAUUGUAAAGCACUUUAAGUUGGGAGGAAGGGCAGUAAGUUAAUACCUUGCUGUUUUGACGUUACCAACAGAAUAAGCACCGGCUAACUUCGUG
rnacentral:rRNA from 1 species